rnacentral:rRNA from 1 species
GACGAACGCUGGCGGCGUGCUUAACACAUGCAAGUCGAACGGAAAGGCCCUGCUUUUGUGGGGUGCUCGAGUGGCGAACGGGUGAGUAACACGUGAGUAACCUGCCCUUGACUUUGGGAUAACUUCAGGAAACUGGGGCUAAUACCGGAUAGGAGCUCCUGCUGCAUGGUGGGGGUUGGAAAGUUUCGGCGGUUGGGGCUGGACUCGCGGCUUAUCAGCUUGUUGGUGGGGUAGUGGCUUACCAAGGCUUUGACGGGUAGCCGGCCUGAGCGGGUGACCGGCCACAUUGGGACUGAGAUACGGACCAGACUCCUACGGGAGGCAGCAGUGGGGAAUAUUGCACAAUGGGCGGAAGCCUGAUGCAGCAACGCCGCGUGCGGGAUGACGGCCUUCGGGUUGUAAACCGCUUUCGCCUGUGACGAAGCGUGAGUGACGGUAAUGGGUAAAGAAGCACCGGCUAACUACGUG